rnacentral:lncRNA from 1 species
CCAGUGAUUUAUUAAGCAAAAACCAUUGCGAAAAGAUUUUUGUUGUGGCCUUUCAAAAAAAAUAAAUUAUUACAAGUUUUAAAAGAAAAUGCUCUUGUUGUUAAAACGUGAUCUUUCAAAAUGAGAAAUGAUUUCUAGUCAUUUUCAAAACUAGUUCAUUUAAUUCAAAUAAAUAAUAAUAAAAAAAAUAAAUAAUUUGGUUUUCAGAACUUGCAUUGAUUUCAACCCUCUUCAAAAGCUCUCUUCAUUUUGAAGUCUCAAAAAAAAAACUUGACUUUGUAAAAGCGCUUUCACUCUAUUUUUGAAACCUAUUUCCCAAAACUCCCUUCUUUCAAAAGUCUUUUUCAAAGGGUGAUGCGUGAAAAACAGCUGGUGAAAGCCAACAACCCUAGCUAUGUUUAAGCCUGCCAUGCACCCCUUGAGAGCCAGAUGUUCAUAAACCCGAUGCGAUUCUUGGAUACCCAUCGCCUCGGUGUAAAAAUUUGGAUACCCAACACCCGCGACUGAGCCUUGGAUACACCCGGAACAUGACUCACUCCCACUUUGGAAAAGGCUUGUGGAGCGGUCAUACUGAAAGUGAAACAACUCAGAAGUAAGAAAAACUUCGGGAAUAGCACCCUUGCUUCUUCAUCGACCGGGCAACGCCUAAAUCUCGGGGACGAGAUUCCUGUAAGGUGGGUGGACUGUAACAUCCC